ensembl:snoRNA small Cajal body-specific RNA 10
GCUCAAUGAUGAUAUAAAGGCUAAUGUGACUCAGCCAGCUGGGCUGCACCCUCAACCCACUCCUAUCAUACGGGUCUGUAAUCUUGGUGGAUGAUGCUGAGCUGUGCAUGUUCGCUGUAAGGGCAGACCAACAGAAAAUCCUUCAGCCCACAUCCCUGGAAAAUACAUUUUCAGGAUGCAUCAGCUCAGAGUGAGUGUUUCUCUGAGCUGAAAAAGGGCUGCGGGGAUAGGAUAAGACAGCAUGUCCGAGGUUUGGGUUGCAAGGGGCAGCCCGUGUUACAGCUGGUGAGAUGUGAGCACACAUCUUUGGUAAUCUGAUGACU